rnacentral:rRNA from 1 species
UUUGACUCCUGGCUCGAGGACACGCUGGCGGCGUGCCUAACACAUGCAAGUCGAACGAGGUCCAUCCUUCGGGAGAAGACCUAGUGGCGAACGGGUGAGUAACACGUGAAGAACCUGCCCCGAAGACCGGGAUAACCCUCCGAAAGGAGAGCUAAUACCGGAUACCCCCACCGAACCGCAUGGUUUGGUGAGGAAAUGGAUUCCGCUUCGGGAGGGCUUCGCGGCCUAUCAGCUAGUUGGUGGGGUAACGGCCCACCAAGGCAUCGACGGGUAGCUGGUCUGAGAGGACGAUCAGCCACACUGGGACUGAGACACGGUCCAGACUCCUACGGGAGGCAGCAGUGGGGAAUCUUGCGCAAUGGGCGAAAGCCUGACGCAGCAACGCCGCGUGGGGAUGAAGGCUCUCGGGUUGUAAACCCCUUUCAGCAGGGACGAAUCAAGACGGUACCUGCAGAAGAAGCCCCGGCUAACUACGUG